ensembl:lncRNA
AUGGUACAUGUUUGCAUCGCAGCUUUUGCGUGGAGCUGUCUCUGCUUCCAACCUGCUCUGGGUGGAUUACCUGCUUCAGGGCCAGCCUUGGGCAAAGCUGUCAAGGGGAAAAUAAUGAUCUUUGGCACCUCCCAGCUCUCUUGGAAGUUACCAGAUCGCAGAGGGCAAGCCCCCGAGGGAAAGGGGUGGGACACAGGACAACGGAGUCCAUUUGAAGAUGCUCUCCUUCUCCCAUGGGAAACCUCUGAGAUGCUCCAGAGAAAACAGGACACAAGGGUACCUGAGCUGGAAGCCGAGGACGGAGGUUGUCGUGGUCUUCCAAAGAAGGUUCUGAAAGAAGAAGAUGGGACUGCAUGGGAAUCCAGGGAUUUAUGCGACUCGAUCCUGCAUUUGUAAAAACAGUGUUAUUAUUCCUAGCCAUCUGACAGGGUCAUCGUGCAAGUCCCAGAAGUACUGUCUGUGGAAGUGAUUUGAAAAUGGCAAAGGGCUAAGAGGUGUCUCUUUUGGAGAAGCAGCCUGUGGCUGGGAGGUCACUGGGAUUGGACUUGAACAGUUGGGGAAGCCAUGUGCGUGCCUCCUCAGAGCCUCGGUUUUAUCACCUGGGAAGUGGAAACGAUAAUACCCACCU